CACGAAGCAGGUUCAACAAACUGUUGUUGGUUAAAUCAACUCGGAGUAGUUUCCCCCGGAGUUAAGCAUGUGCGCCACAACUCUGAAAAGCCAGUAUUAAUGGAGCGCCGAUUCGACGAGUCACCAUGGCAACGGAAAGAAGUGCAACACCGCUGCAGCUACAAACGAGAGGGAAACGGCGUGGGAGAGCAUUGCUGCCCGAGUCAAUGUGUAAGUUGAAACCACAAUAAUAUUGCAGGGAAAACUGUUUAAUGGUAACCUGUUGUGUUAUUUCAUUUAGGUGCAAGAGGGAGACGGCCUGGGAGAGCAUUGCUGUCUGAGUCAAUGUGUAAGUUGAAACCACAAUAAUGUAGUGGGGGAAAACUGUUUGAUGGUAACCUGUUCUGUUAUUUCAUUUAGGUACAAUCCUGUGGGGGAGAAGUGUAUGUGGGGAAACGGGUAAGAAAUAUUUAUCACUGGAUAGACUGGAAGACAAAUUCUGGCUGUUCUAUUACCUCCACUGUGUUUGUUGAGUCUUCUCCUCUACAGGCUGGGGACCUGGAACCUUUGACUGAAUUUUAAGUAACUAUUCACCGGCUUUCUUUCUUUCUUUCUAUCUUUCUGGACAGCGUAGCAGCCUAUCUACCUAUAGCACAGAUUGCUAAACAGUUAGCAGAGCUAGCUAUGAUUGAUAAAGUUUUCUGCACAUCAUAUUUACUAACAAACAGCAAAACCUGAACAAUAUAUACAAAUGCUAUGUGUUACAUUAAAUGUAUAAAUUAAUUCACUUUGUGUUGCUAAUACCUUACAAAUAGUCUGUAAACCUUUAAUUAGUUUCACUAUACACUGCUAAAACUCUAUAUGCUACUACAUUACCAAAGGAAGCGAUCAUUAUUAACACACAAAGAUGUGAUUUAAUAUAUAUUUAUUUGUUGUCUUUAACCCACUUCUCAUAGGUUGGCCUGACAACAAACUAAACCCUAUCCUUUCAUCUAGAUCUUGUUACUACAGAAAACUACAACUUCAUCCUGUGACAUUCAUGUACAACUCCAUACUUUAAUUUCCUCUAUAUAUUUUCAGUUAUCACUAACACAAAUUGACAAACCACUUACUCAAAAUCAAUCACACACCACAAAUAAAUAUAUGCAAUACUUCAACCACCAUAUUACAAGGCCACAUCUACAAAUGUAAACAUUGCAACACAACUUAGACAUGGCUGCAUGUUCACACUUGAACUAUGUAAACUAUCAGAAAAACAAACUAAACUAGCUCUCUCAUUCCUAUGAAAUAAAGAAAAAGGAUGCACUUGAUGCACUGUGUCAUGCAAAAGUUAAGUUAUUCUUCUUGCUAUACUUUUGUUUUUCUGUCCCCUGACUAUUGUUUUCUUUAAUGCAAUUCUGACAAACUUUUGUACCUUUUGCACAUGUGUCUGUGCUAUCGUUUUAUUUGUGAAGGUUAGCAAGACUACAUGACAAAUUAAACACCAAAACAUUAAAACUGCUGUUUUAAGAAUAUUCCAGUUUGAUAAAUCAGUAUUGCUUUGGUGUAAUUCGGUCAACGGAAUUAUGAACCAUAAAGGAGUUUGUGUUAAAACAUGUUAAAUCCCAUUAAACAUAAGUGCAUUAUUAGUGUGACAGGAGGUUGUCUCCCUCCUGGCCGCUGUUGGGCGCCGUGCCAGCCGUGCGAGUACCGUAAUCGCUGGGCGGUACCAUGCGCCCUUUAUAUUCAGGUGUGCAGCGGUGGAGCUUCCUGUCCUCCGCUCCCUGCUUGCUUCCGUGGUGGCUGUGGUUUGGCAUGACGGUGUUGGUGGACGCAGCCGUUCUCUGGUGUAUACAGCUGUUGUGAUUGCCGUCAAGGCAUGCUGUCUGAAUACCGUGGCUGAGUGCUGGGGUGAAUUCCCCGGGGUGAAGCGGGGAUCUGCUGGAGCCCUGCUGGCCAUAGGAUCACAGGCUCGCUCUGGGUGGGUGUGUGUGAGCCGUAUUCUUGUGGCUCACACCCUCCAGUUGUGAGGUACGUGAUGGGUUGCUUUCCCCAGCCGCUAUUCUGAUUUUAUGUCAUGAGUUUAUUAACUCGGUGUUAUUUUUCUUUCUAGUUAACAGCCCGGCAUAAUCGGACUGCCACCAUCACUUCAAGCUGAGCUGCUGUUUUGGUUCUCUUUAAUAUUUGUUUGGUGAACUGUUUAUGUUUUUUGGAUUCUGUUGUUUGCAGCGGCUUGGAGCGGACUUCUCAGCCCAGUACGGCUGAGUGCCGUCUGCGUCCGCUCCGUGCACAGGCUGGUUGUGUUGCUGCUGUGCCAGAACUUGUACAGCUGCAAGGGCUACUUCACUUGAUGGUGUUUUGUUUUCUUUGUUAUUUGGAAAUUAAUUCAGGUAUUUCCUUUUGGUGUCUUGGUUUGCUUUGUUGCAUUAAUUUAAUUGUGUUUUUGUUAUUUUCUUUGAGUUUAUUUAGCCUUAUGUAAUGAUUUAAUUCAUCAUUUGUUGUUCUUUGGUUUUGUUUUCUUUUGUCCACACCAGUUAUGGUUAGUUUGGGCACGUUUUAUUAAUCUUUGUCUCUGUCUUCUGUGUACAGGUGCUGUGGCUUACUGUGGCAGUUAUUUCCUGCUGGUGGUGUCUUCUUCACGGUCCCCCCCUUUCUUUUGGUUUUGUGUGUGUAUUAUUUGCAGUGUCACAGGUGAUUCAUCUGAGGAUUCCUCUCCCCUUUUUGGUUGUCCUGCCGCAGGGUAAGCCCCAGCCUGGGUUUUUUUUUUUUUAUUCCUUGUUGCCCAUUCUUUCUUUUAGUUAGUAUAUGUUAACUUGGUGUGUGACAUUAUUUCCUUCCUUACAAAUUGUUAAUAAACAUUGUUAAAUUUGAA